GACGGAGCAACGCCGCGUGCGGGAGGAAGGCCUGUGGGUUGUAAACCGCUUUUCUCAGGGAAGAAGUACUGACGGUACCUGAGGAAUCAGCAUCGGCUAACUCCGUGCCAGCAGCCGCGGUAAUACGGAGGAUGCAAGCGUUAUCCGGAAUUAUUGGGCGUAAAGCGUCCGCAGGCGGCUGUUCAAGUCUGCUGUCAAAGCCUGGGGCUUAACCUCGGAUAGGCAGUGGAAACUGAGUAGCUAGAGUGCGGUAGGGGUAGAGGGAAUUCCCAGUGUAGCGGUGAAAUGCGUAGCAUAUUGGGAAGAACAC
rnacentral:rRNA from 2 species